rnacentral:rRNA from 1 species
UACGAAGGUGGCAAGCGUUACUCGGAAUUACUAGGCGUAAAGGGCAGGUAGGCGGCCUGGUUAGUCUGUUGUGAAAGCUCCCGGCUUAACUGGGAGAGGUCAACAGAUACUGCCAGGCUUGAGUAUGGGGAGAGGGUACUGGAAUUCCUGGUGUAGCGGUGGAAAUGCGCAGAUAUCAGGAGGAACACCGGUGGCGAAGGCGGGUCUCUGGGCCGAUACUGACGCUGAGGAGCGAAAGCGUGGGGAGCGAACAGG